GCCUCACACAUGCUAGGCAAGCGCUCUGCCACUGAGCCACAAGCCCAGCCACAGGAUCUCAUUCUUGUGGUUGUACAUGACGUAGCGUUUCACUGGUGGUGUAUUCAUAUAUGAACAUAGAAAGGCUAUGUCUCAUUCUUUAUUAUUCCUAUCCUUUCCCCUUCCCUUCAUUCCUCUGUCUAAUCCAAUGAACUUCUAUUAGUCUUCAAUUCCAUCCAUUUACCAGCAAAUGCCAUAAUUUCAUUCUUCUUUAUGGCUGAGUAAUAUUCCAUUGGUUAUAUAGCUACCUUUUAUUGAGGAUCUGCUAUGUGCCAGAUGUCACGUAAGAUGCAUUUAAAGCAUGCUAGUCUCAAGCUAGAAAAGUCAUUCCCUUUACUAAAUCAUUGGUUUUAAAAAUAUUGGAGGAAUAGGACAAUGGGAGAAGAGAGACAACAGAGAUCCUGUCAACAGGAUCAUUUCAGACAGUGUUAACACUGCAAAGAAACAAAAUGGUGAUGAUGCAGUGAGUGGUUUUAAAUAGCAAGACCUGGACACCUCUCCAAGGGGGUAAUGUUAGUGCCGGGACCGAAGGAUAUAAAGAGAC
rnacentral:lncRNA from 1 species